GUGGGGAAUAUUGGACAAUGGGGGGAACCCUGAUCCAGCCAUGCCGCGUGUGUGAAGAAGGCCUUUUGGUUGUAAAGCACUUUAAGCGAGGAGGAGGCUACCGAGAUUAAUACUCUUGGAUAGUGGACGUUACUCGCAGAAUAAGCACCGGCUAACUCUGUGCCAGCAGCCGCGGUAAUACAGAGGGUGCAAGCGUUAAUCGGAUUUACUGGGCGUAAAGCGCGCGUAGGUGGCCAAUUAAGUCAAAUGUGAAAUCCCCGAGCUUAACUUGGUAAUUGCAUUCGAUACUGGUUGGCUAGAGUAUGGGAGAGGAUGGUAGAAUUCCAGGUGUAGCGGUGAAAUGCGUAGAGAUCUGGAGGAAUACCGAUGGCGAAGGCAGCCAUCUGGCCUAAUACUGACACUGAGGUGCGAAAGCAUGGGGAGCAAACAGGAUUAGAAACCCGUGUAGUCC
rnacentral:rRNA from 1 species